AGCGCCAUAUUUAUCUCCUCGCAAGAGCAGCUUGUGCCAAUUUGAGAAUGUCCCAUCUACGAGGUAAACACGCCAAAUGUUCUGUUGUUAACUGCAAGAGCGAGCACAAGAUUCUUCAUUCACUCCCGGCAUCUGAGCCACUUAAGACCCAGUGGAUUCGUUUUAUUUUUGAUGGCAAUGCGCCCACAACAAUAGGAAAAUCCAUGUAUGUUUGUGCAAACCAUUUUAUGUCGGACUGCUUCAUCAACGAGGGUCAACACAAGGCUGGAUUUGCUUCCAAGCUAAGGAUCAAGGAUGGGUCUAUACCAACUCUCCGUGACCCAACUUCAGAUUUACAAGUCUUGACCUAUCAGCCCAAAUUGAGUUGUGAGAUUGGGUGCCAGACAGAUGAAGCUUUAAAAAAAGAUGCUGCCUGCCAGACAAAUCUUGAAGCGCCCAUCAAGAAAGAAACCGUAGAAGAAGAACACAAGCCACUACAGCUGCUGGAUACAUACAAUAUCAUCACUAUAAAAAAGGAGGAAGAACUUUGGGACAGCUGAGGAGAAGCCCCACAUAUGGCACGGCUAGUGGAGCUUCUCUUUAAUUACAUGUUGGAGGAGCCCCAGUAGUUUAAGGACCUUCAGAAGAAAAUGGCAGGUUCCGGAACACGUUCGCACACAAUUGGAAAGACCUAAAAAGUGGGAGGCUGUGGCACUGCACACGUCAGGCUUUAAACCCAUGGACGCCAAAGAAAAAAGCCACUCUUUUUAUGCAUAUCUGCAAUGCAGUCGAUAAAUAAAAGGGAUAUUAUGUGUUUUUGACAGGAAAUGUUGCAGCUGAUGUUUUGACAUGUUGAUAAACUUUAAAAUGGACUGCAGAAUACUUAAGUUAAAUUAUUUUUGUAUAUAUAUAUAGUGGUUGGAACACCAUUUUUUUGAACAGUAUUUCUAUUGGCAGUACAGUGUGUUUGACCAUGACUUAAUUGUGGUCAAAGUGAAUCACAAUUUGUUUUAUGUUAAUCACAUCACUGUUCAAAUUGCAAUAACAAUAUUUUUCAAAAUAAUAAAAAAAUGAAUUUGUUUUGUCCACAGGGCAAACACCCUACAGACCUGCCAACCUGUACGCAUUUUGCAUAGCGGAUACGCAUUGUGACCUCAAAGUACACUGGUACGAUUUGUCACUCUAAACUACGCAAAAACCCGGUGACGCAUCUUUGCACGCGCAGUACUCAAAUCAAGCAAAAGACCAAUCAUAGCGCUGGGUUCAUUCAUGAAAUAGCAAGCGGAGAUGGUUGACAAAUGCGCAUAUCAUUAAAAAGAGACAGCAAAUCGACAGCAACACAAAAUCCUGCUCGAUCCCCCUUCCACUACCGCCAUCUCACUGAUUUCGAGGAUGGAACAGUAGUCACUGUUCUUCUAACUCCUUAAGGUAAACGGGUUGUGGUGGAUGUGUAAAGAUUAAAUAUUGAACUUAAUCCUCUGGAGUCGACGUGAUCGAAUGGAUUAAUUUAAAAUACUCCGUCAUUCAAGAU